rnacentral:tRNA from 1 species
AGUGUCACGCCGGCACGAACGGAUUACUUUGAUGAGGUUAAACAUGAGGUAGUUCCUCUGACACUU